GUAGGUGAACCUGCGGAAGGAUCAUUAUUGAAUGAACUUGGCUUGGUUGUUGCUGGUCUCUUCGGAGGCAUGUGCACACCUUGUCAUCUUUAUAUCUCCACCUGUGCACCUUUUGUAGACCUGGAUUCAACUUUCCGAGGCAACUCGGUCGUGAGGAAUUGCUUAAUGGCUUUCCUUGAAAGUCUCCAGGCCUAUGUUUUCAUAUACACCAUAAGAAUGUAACAGAAUGUCAUUAUUAGACUUAUGUCUUAUAAACUAUAUACAACUUUCAGCAACGGAUCUCUUGGCUCUC
rnacentral:misc_RNA from 1 species